rnacentral:lncRNA from 1 species
ACUGUGCCCGCUGUGGAAAGCCCUGCAUUAAUGCAGGGACAGUAAAACAGUGCAGUGGGGCAUGAUAGAAAACCGUGUCUCAAUUUCAGCUGGAUAUAUGAUGAAACACACUGGAGAUCAGCGAGGAAGGGAUGUAUGAUUUAAGAAAGGGUUCUAGGAAAAUUGUUCAUAUUGAAGGAAACUAGGACAUAUCCUACUUCACACCACAAGCAAAAUUUAAUUUAAGCAGCCCUUUCCAAGAGCCAUGAAAUUCCAGAGAUGAGAGGUCAUUUAGGUCAAGUGUUCCUCUUACAGCAAAGGAAGCCCACCCUAGAGAUGAUGUGAUCUGGAGGCAAGAGAAGGACAGAGGGCCCUAAAUUCAAAAGAGCAGUGAUUUACUUCCGGCAGUGUCACUUGCUAGAUGCAUGAACUAAGGUGAAAACGACUGAGGGACGCUCUGUGCUUUGUUACCCACAAGACGAGAGAAAAAAAUCAGAUGGAA